rnacentral:rRNA from 1 species
UGGGGAAUAUUGCGCAAUGGGGGAAACCCUGACGCAGCGACGCCGCGUGCGGGAUGAAGGCCUUCGGGUUGUAAACCGCUUUUGAUUGGGAGCAAGCUUUCGGGUGAGUGUACCUUUCGAAUAAGCGCCGGCUAACUACGUGCCGGCAGCCGCGGUAAUACGUAGGGCGCAAGCGUUAUCCGGAAUUAUUGGGCGUAAAGAGCUUGUAGGCGGUUCGUCGCGUCUGGUGUGAAAGCCCAUCGCUUAACGGUGGGUUUGCGCCGGGUACGGGCGGGCUAGAGUGCAGUAGGGGAGACUGGAAUUCCCGGUGUAACGGUGGAAUGUGUAGAUAUCGGGAAGAACACCAAUGGCGAAGGCAGGUCUCUGGGCUGUUACUGACGCUGAGAAGCGAAAGCGUGGGGAGCGAACAGG